AUACGGAGGGGGCUAGCGUUGUUCGGAAUUACUGGGCGUAAAGCGCGCGUAGGCGGGCUGGUCAGUUGGGGGUGAAAUCCCGAGGCUUAACCUCGGAACUGCCCUCAAUACUGCCAGUCUUGAGUUCGAGGGAGGUGAGUGGAAUUCCUAGUGUAGAGGUGAAAUUCGUAGAUAUUAGGAAGAACACCAGUGGCGAAGGCGGCUCACUGGCUCGAUACUGACGCUGAGGCGCGAAAGCGUGGGGAGCAAACAGGAUUAGAAACCCCAGUAGUCC
rnacentral:rRNA from 1 species